UACGUAGGGGGCAAGCGUUGUCCGGAAUCAUUGGGCGUAAAGCGCGUGUAGGCGGCUCGAUAAGUCUGCUGUGAAAGUCCAGGGCUCAACCCUGGGAUGCCGGUGGAUACUGUCGAGCUCGAGUCCGGAAGAGGCGAGUGGAAUUCCUGGUGUAGCGGUGGAAUGCGCAGAUAUCAGGAGGAACACCGAUGGCGAAGGCAGCUCGCUGGGACGGUACUGACGCUGAGGCGCGAAAGCGUGGGGAGCGAACAGG
rnacentral:rRNA from 1 species